GACGAACGCUGGCGGCGUGCCUAAUACAUGCCAGUAGAACGCUGAAGGAGGAGCUUGCUUCUCUGGAUGAGUUGCGAACGGGUGAGUAACGCGUAGGUAACCUGCCUGGUAGCGGGGGAUAACUAUUGGAAACGAUAGCUAAUACCGCAUAAGAGUAGAUGUUGCAUGACAUUUGCUUAAAAGGUGCAAUUGCAUCACUACCAGAUGGACCUGCGUUGUAUUAGCUAGUUGGUGAGGUAACGGCUCACCAAGGCAACGAUACAUAGCCGACCUGAGAGGGGGAUCGGCCACACUGGGACUGAGACACGGCCCAGACUCCUACGGGAGGCAGCAGUAGGGAAUCUUCGGCAAUGGACGGAAGUCUGACCGAGCAACGCCGCGUGAGUGAAGAAGGGUUUCGGAUCGUAAAGCUCUGUUGUAAGAGAAGAACGAGUGUGAGAGUGGAAAGUUCACACUGUGACGGUAUCUUACCAGAAAGGGACGGCUAACUACGUG
rnacentral:rRNA from 1 species